CGGCGACCGCCUCCCGCCGCGCGCCCUCCCCGCGCUCCACCUCUAAUAACCUCGCAGCCCGCGCGCCUGGGAAGCUCGUGCGCAGGCGCCCGCCCGGGACCUGAAGUCUGCGCGCGAGCGCAACGCGCUCGCUCUCGGGUCCGGGUUCCUGGGGCCCGCGAGGCGCGAGACGCGAGUAGGUGGGGAGUGAGCCGCGGGUAGAGCUCUCCUUGGCUGAGCCGGCAGGCUGCUGAGCGCAUGCGCCUGAGGGCUUUUACCCCUCCCUUCUUUCCCCGCUUCCAACCGGCGCGCGGCUGGAGGCUGGGAACCAGCUCCUAGGUCUUAGAGGUUCACAUCCACCAACUACCUUCCCAGGGUUGGACUGAGAAGGGGAGCAGAGGGUCCCAGGGACUCUCCUGAGAUCCUGGCUCUCCUGCCAAGGAAUUUACAUUUCCUUGUCACAGCAGCUAUCAUUUUUGCCCUUUGUGGGAAGCACCAUGUGAUAUAUCCAACUACUCUGAAACUACCACACUGUGAAGUGUCUAAUCAAGCCACCUGGAGAGACCAAAUGGAAGAAAACUAAGGCCCCUGGCCAACAGCCCCAGCUGUGCUCCUACUGGCCAGUCAGCACCAGGCUGCCACGCAUGUGACUGAUACAGUCUUGGAAGUGAAUUUUCCAGCCCUACUCAAGCUACUGCAGCUGACACCACAUGGAACAGAGAUGAGCUUUUCUCCCCAGUGCCCAAAUAGCAGAAUUGUGGGAAAAUAAAUAAAACAGUUGUAUUAAGCCA